rnacentral:rRNA from 1 species
UCGGGAAUAUUGCGCAAUGGAGGAAACUCUGACGCAGUGACGCCGCGUAUAGGAAGAAGGUUUUCGGAUUGUAAACUAUUGUCGUUAGGGAAGAAAAAGACAGUACCUAAGGAGGAAGCUCCGGCUAACUACGUGCCAGCAGCCGCGGUAAUACGUAGGGAGCAAGCGUUAUCCGGAUUUAUUGGGUGUAAAGGGUGCGUAGACGGGCCUGCAAGUUAGUUGUGAAAUCCCUCGGCUUAACUGAGGAACUGCAGCUAAAACUACAAGUCUUGAGUGCAGGAGAGGUAAGUGGAAUUCCUAGUGUAGCGGUGAAAUGCGUAGAUAUUAGGAGGAACACCAGUGGCGAAGGCGACUUACUGGACUGUAACUGACGUUGAGGCACGAAAGUGUGGGGAGCAAACAGGAUUAGAUACC